GUCUAAAGGUUUCUCUGAAACAGUGAGUUAGGUGAAGUCUGCAGAUUCCUGAUGUUUACAGCGGCUCUUGUGCAAGAGCUCUGGCGAAAGUGGCCACUGGGGAAACCGAGUGAGUUUAUAGGACCCUGCCAGACGUCGCUGCGGUACUACAGGGUGAAGAUUUUUUGGUCACUUUGUACCACCACAUUGAAAGGAUCCGAUCCUUCCUCACCCAAGAGGCCGCCCAGGUGCUAGUGCAGUCACUUGUCAUCUCAAGGCUUGGUCUUCCCAUGCAGGCCAUCAAGCCUCUGCA